rnacentral:ncRNA from 1 species
GAAAAAGCAAGGAUGAGGAGAAGUAAGUAACACAAGUUCUUUAGAGAGGACCAUCACCGGCUGAAAGUGGUCUGAACCAAUGAGUUACUGAAAUGCACCUCUGAGUGCCAUGCCGAACAUGUCAGUAGGCUGGACGUAUCAUCUGCGUUAAGGAUGCGAAGUGGGAAGGGUGUUUUAUUUGCCUUUUCAAUCAGAGUGGAACCGCGCCCAAAGCGUCUCUGUC